rnacentral:misc_RNA from 1 species
CGCACCUUGCACCCCACGGUUUUCCGUGGGGUACGCCCGUUCGAGUGUCACGUUAACAUCGGGACGAUUCUUGCAAUUGUCACGGACUUGGACGUUGCCGGCGAAAGUCGGCUCGUCUCGAAAUGCAUUAGCUGGCGCGUUCGCAGGCACGGCGUUGAUAACUUCUACGUCUUGACUUUGGGCGCACCGCUUCCAAUCGUCUUCGGACAAUUCUCUAAGUUUGACCUCGAAUCGGGUGGGACUACCCGCUGAACUUAA